rnacentral:rRNA from 1 species
GACGAACGCUGGCGGCGUGCUUAACACAUGCAAGUCGAACGAAGAGCGAUGGAAGCUUGCUUCUAUCAAUCUUAGUGGCGACCGGGUGAGUAACGCGUAAUCAACCUGCCCUUCAGAGGGGGACAACAGUUGGAAACGACUGCUAAUACCGCAUACGAUCUAACCUCGGCAUCGAGGAUGGAUGAAAGGUGGCCUCUAUUUAUAAGCUAUCACUGAAGGAGGGGAUUGCGUCUGAUUAGCUAGUUGGAGGGGUAACGGCCCACCAAGGCGAUGAUCAGUAGCCGGUCUGAGAGGAUGAACGGCCACAUUGGGACUGAGACACGGCCCAGACUCCUACGGGAGGCAGCAGUGGGGAAUCUUACGCAAUGGACGAAAGUCUGACGGAGCAACGCCGCGUGAGUGAUGACGGCCUUCGGGUUGUAAAGCUCGGUUAAUCGGGACGAAAGGCCUUCUUGCGAAUAGUUAGAAGGAUUGACGGUACCGGAAUAGAAAGCCACGGCUAACUACGUG